UACGUAGGGUGCGAGCGUUAUCCGGAAUUAUUGGGCGUAAAGAGCUCGUAGGCGGUUCGUCGCGUCUGCUGUGAAAACUGGGGGCUCAACCCCCAGCCUGCAGUGGGUACGGGCAGACUAGAGUGCGGUAGGGGAGAUUGGAAUUCCUGGUGUAGCGGUGGAAUGCGCAGAUAUCAGGAGGAACACCAAUGGCGAAGGCAGAUCUCUGGGCCGUUACUGACGCUGAGGAGCGAAAGCAUGGGGAGCGAACAGG
rnacentral:rRNA from 1 species